GACGAACGCUGGCGGCGUGCUUAACACAUGCAAGUCGAACGAAGUGGCGAACGGGUGAGUAACGCGUAAUCAACCUGCCCUUCAGAGGGGGCCAACAGUUGGAACCGACUGCUAAUACCGCAUACUGUAGGAGGGGAUUGCGUCUGAUUAGCUAGUUGGAGGGGUAACGGCCCAACAAGGCGAUGAUCAGUAGACGGGCUGGGAGGAUGAACGGCCCAAUCGGGACUGAGACAAGGGCCAGACUCCUAAGGGAGGCAGCAGGGGGGAAUCUUCCGCAAUGGAGGAAAGGCUGACGGAGCAACGGCGCGUGAGGGAUGACGGCCUUCGGGUUGUAAAGCUCUGUUAAGCGGGACGCGGUACCGGAAUAGAAAGCAACGGCUAACUACGUGCCAGCAGCCGCGGUAAUAC
rnacentral:rRNA from 1 species